rnacentral:rRNA from 1 species
UGGGGAAUAUUGCACAAUGGAGGGAACUCUGAUGCAGCGACGCCGCGUGAACGAAGAAGGCUUUCGCGUCGUAAAGUUCUUUUAUAUGGGAAGAUAAUGACGGUACCAUAAGAAAAAGCCCCGGCUAACUACGUGCCAGCAGCCGCGGUAAUACGUAGGGGGCUAGCGUUGUCCGGAAUCACUGGGCGUAAAGGGUUCGCAGGCGGAAAUGCAAGUCAGGUGUGAAAGGCAGUAGCUUAACUACUGUAAGCAUUUGAAACUGCAUAUCUUGAGAAGAGUAGAGGUAAGUGGAAUUUUUAGUGUAGCGGUGAAAUGCGUAGAUAUUAAAAAGAAUACCGGUGGCGAAGGCGACUUACUGGGCUCAUUCUGACGCUGAGGAACGAAAGCGUGGGUAGCAAACAGG